UAUCUCUCCGUACGGGGAAGGAUGAGAAGCUUCGACUAAGGUUCGAUUCGAGCGCAGCGAGAAAGCGUUGCCGUAGGCAACGACCCGAAGGGCGAAGCGCGC
rnacentral:sRNA from 1 species